GACGAACGCUGGCGGCGUGCUUAACACAUGCGAGUCGAACGGAAAGGCCCUGCUUGCAGGGUGCUCGAGUGGCGAACGGGUGAGUAACACGUGGGUGAUCUGCCCCUUAUUUUGGGAUAAGCCUGGGAAACUGGGUCUAAUACUGGAUAGGACCAUGCUGUAGGUGGUGUGGUGGAAAGAUUAGUUUCGGUAAGGGAUGAGCUCGCGGCCUAUCAGCUUGUUGGUGGGGUAAUGGCCUACCAAGGCGUCGACGGGUAGCCGGCCUGAGAGGGUGGACGGCCACAUUGGGACUGAGAUACGGCCCAGACUCCUACGGGAGGCAGCAGUGGGGAAUAUUGCACAAUGGGCGCAAGCCUGAUGCAGCGACGCCGCGUGGGGGAUGACGGCCUUCGGGUUGUAAACUCCUUUCAGCCAUGACGAAGCCCUUGUGGUGACGGUAGUGGUAGAAGAAGCACCGGCUAACUACGUG
rnacentral:rRNA from 1 species